rnacentral:rRNA from 1 species
GAUGAACGCUGACGGCGUGCCUAAUACAUGCAAGUCGAGCGAACGGACGAGAAGCUUGCUUCUCUGAUGUUGGCGGCGGACGGGUGAGUAACACGUGGAUAACCUACCUAUAAGACUGGGAUAACUUCGGGAAACCGGAGCUAAUACCGGAUAAUAUUUUGAACCGCAUGGUUCAAAAGUGAAAGACGGUCUUGCUGUCACUUAUAGAUGGAUCCGCGCUGCAUUAGCUAGUUGGUAAGGUAACGGCUUACCAAGGCAACGAUGCAUAGCCGACCUGAGAGGGUGAUCGGCCACACUGGAACUGAGACACGGUCCAGACUCCUACGGGAGGCAGCAGUAGGGAAUCUUCCGCAAUGGGCGAAAGCCUGACGGAGCAACGCCGCGUGAGUGAUGAAGGUCUUCGGAUCGUAAAACUCUGUUAUUAGGGAAGAACAUAUGUGUAAGUAACUGUGCACAUCUUGACGGUACCUAAUCAGAAAGCCACGGCUAACUACGUGCCAGCAGCCGCGGUAAUACGUAGGUGGCAAGCGUUAUCCGGAAUUAUUGGGCGUAAAGCGCGCGUAGGCGGUUUUUUAAGUCUGAUGUGAAAGCCCACGGCUCAACCGUGGAGGGUCAUUGGAAACUGGAAAACUUGAGUGCAGAAGAGGAAAGUGGAAUUCCAUGUGUAGCGGUGAAAUGCGCAGAGAUAUGGAGGAACACCAGUGGCGAAGGCGACUUUCUGGUCUGUAACUGACGCUGAUGUGCGAAAGCGUGGGGAUCAAACAGGAUUAGAUACCCUGGUAGUCCACGCCGUAAACGAUGAGUGCUAAGUGUUAGGGGGUUUCCGCCCCUUAGUGCUGCAGCUAACGCAUUAAGCACUCCGCCUGGGGAGUACGACCGCAAGGUUGAAACUCAAAGGAAUUGACGGGGACCCGCACAAGCGGUGGAGCAUGUGGUUUAAUUCGAAGCAACGCGAAGAACCUUACCAAGUCUUGACAUCCUUUGACAACUCUAGAGAUAGAGCUUUCCCCUUCGGGGGACAAAGUGACAGGUGGUGCAUGGUUGUCGUCAGCUCGUGUCGUGAGAUGUUGGGUUAAGUCCCGCAACGAGCGCAACCCUUAAGCUUAGUUGCCAUCAUUAAGUUGGGCACUCUAAGUUGACUGCCGGUGACAAACCGGAGGAAGGUGGGGAUGACGUCAAAUCAUCAUGCCCCUUAUGAUUUGGGCUACACACGUGCUACAAUGGACAAUACAAAGGGCAGCGAAACCGCGAGGUCAAGCAAAUCCCAUAAAGUUGUUCUCAGUUCGGAUUGUAGUCUGCAACUCGACUACAUGAAGCUGGAAUCGCUAGUAAUCGUAGAUCAGCAUGCUACGGUGAAUACGUUCCCGGGUCU